rnacentral:rRNA from 1 species
GACGAACGCUGGCGGCGUGCUUAACACAUGCAAGUCGAACGGAAAGGCCCUGCUUUUGUGGGGUGCUCGAGUGGCGAACGGGUGAGCAACACGUGAGUAACCUGCCCUUGACUUUGGGAUAACUUCAGGAAACUGGGGCUAAUACCGGAUAGGAGCUCCUGCUGCAUGGUGGGGGUUGGAAAGUUUCGGCGGUUGGGGAUGGACUCGCGGCUUAUCAGCUUGUUGGUGGGGUAGUGGCUUACCAAGGCUUUGACGGGUAGCCGGCCUGAGAGGGUGACCGGCCACAUUGGGACUGAGAUACGGCCCAGACUCCUACGGGAGGCAGCAGUGGGGAAUAUUGCACAAUGGGCGGAAGCCUGAUGCAGCAACGCCGCGUGCGGGAUGACGGCCUUCGGGUCGUAAACCGCUUUCGCCUGUGACGAAGCGUGAGUGACGGUAAUGGGUAAAGAAGCACCGGCUAACUACGUGCCAGCAGCCGCGGUGAUACGUAGGGUGCGAGCGUUGUCCGGAUUUAUUGGGCGUAAAGGGCUCGUAGGUGGUUGAUCGCGUCGGAAGUGUAAUCUUGGGGCUUAACCCUGAGCGUGCUUUCGAUACGGGUUGACUUGAGGAAGGUAGGGGAGAAUGGAAUUCCUGGUGGAGCGGUGGAAUGCGCAGAUAUCAGGAGGAACACCAGUGGCGAAGGCGGUUCUCUGGGCCUUUCCUGACGCUGAGGAGCGAAAGCGUGGGGAGCGAACAGGCUUAGAUACCCUGGUAGUCCACGCUGUAAACGGUGGGUACUAGGUGUGGGGUCCAUUCCACGGGUUCCGUGCCGUAGCUAACGCUUUAAGUACCCCGCCUGGGGAGUACGGCCGCAAGGCUAAAACUCAAAGGAAUUGACGGGGCCCCGCACAAGCGGCGGAGCAUGCGGAUUAAUUCGAUGCAACGCGUAGAACCUUACCUGGGUUUGACAUGGAUCGGGAGUGCUCAGAGAUGGGUGUGCCUCUUUUGGGGUCGGUUCACAGGUGGUGCAUGGCUGUCGUCAGCUCGUGUCGUGAGAUGUUGGGUUAAGUCCCGCAACGAGCGCAACCCUUGUUCACUGUUGCCAGCACGUUAUGGUGGGGACUCAGUGGAGACCGCCGGGGUCAACUCGGAGGAAGGUGGGGAUGACGUCAAGUCAUCAUGCCCCUUAUGUCCAGGGCUUCACGCAUGCUACAAUGGCUGGUACAGAGAGUGGCGAGCCUGUGAGGGUGAGCGAAUCUCGGAAAGCCGGUCUCAGUUCGGAUUGGGGUCUGCAACUCGACCUCAUGAAGUCGGAGUCGCUAGUAAUCGCAGAUCAGCAACGCUGCGGUGAAUACGUUCCCGGGGCU